UGGCGGGCGCCCCUCCCCCAGCCUCGCUGCCGCCUUGCAGUUUGAUCUCAGACUGCUGUGCUAGCAAUCAGCGAGACUCCGUGGGCGUAGGACCCUCCGAGCCAGAUGAUCAGUUGCUUCCAUUUGAAUCACUGUCAAGAAAGAAUGAAGCAGCCAAUUCUUUUGGAGGAAGUUGAUAGUCUCUUUUUGGGUGUGUGACAGACAGCACAAUGAUACCUGUGUGGAAGAGGAUGAGGAUGAGGUGGGAGCUACAAGUGCUCAGAGCCUUGGACAUUGCUUCUGCUGAGUUCAGCCUCAGCACAGAGUGAAGGAUUACAGCAUAGGAAGAAAAUACCAGAGCCAUAUCACUCCCAACCAAGACCCAUGCUAGCAUCAGUUGGUAAAAUUUGUUCACAGUGAUGUCAUCACAAGCCAGGCUGAUAACCCCCAAGUUAGAGCAGAGGCAGUGCUCGAUUUCAUUCCUGGAACAGUAGUGUCUCUGGGCAGCCAGUAUAGGCACUGGGAUGGUCAACAGGCCAUUCCUGAGCAUGAUGAACCCUGUGGCUUUGAAGACAAAAGCUUUAGUGACUAUGGAGGGGUACUGAAGAGGGCGACAGAUGGCUAUGUAUCUGUCUACUGCCAUGCAGAGAAAGAUGCCUGACUCUAUGCAGAAGAAGCAGUGGAUGGCAUAGAUCUGAGCAAAACACAUGGGGAGGCUAAUGGCCUUGGCAUCAAACCAGAAGAUGGCCAGGAUCUUGGGCAUGAUGGUGGUGGCCAGGCCAAUGUCCACCACUGCUAAUAUGCCCAGCAAAUGGUACAUGGGUUCAUGUAGCACGGUCUCAUGUUGAAUGGUGAUUAUGAUGAGGAGAUUGGCACCAAGAGCUAAGAGGUAGAGCAGAGUCAGGGGCAGGGAGAGCCAGUGCUGCCACUCAUGAAUGCCUGGUAAUCCCAUCAGGAUGAACUGGGAAAUCUGGAGGCUGGAGUCAUAGGUAACACUGGUGGAGGUAUCCAUGGAAUGGGUGCCUCAGUCUCAGUGUCUGUCUGAAAUAGAAGAAAUCUCUGUUUAAAAGUUCAGCUAAGGGGCUGAGCAUCGUGGUUCAUGCCUGUAAUCCCAGCACUUUGGGAGGCUGAGACAGGCAGAUAAUUUGAGGUCAGGAGCUCGAGACUGACCUGGCUAACAUGGCAAAAUCUCAUCUCUGCGGAGAAUACAAAAAUUAGCUGGGUGUGGUGGUGCCUGUCUGUAAUCCCAGCUACUUGGGAGGCUGAGGCAUGAGAAUCAUUGAACCUGGGAGGCGGAGGUUGCCGUGAGCCGAGAUUGUGCCACUGCACCCCAGCCUGGACAACAGAGUGAGACCCUGUCUUAAAAAACAAAACAAAACAAAAAGUUAAGUGUCUUGGUAAGAGCUCCUCAAUAAUGAACCAGCUCCUUUUAUUCAUGAAUGACCCUCAACUUUAUUUGACUUCUGGAAAUAUUCCACAGAGGAAUAACAAAAAAAGCAAAAAAAUUCUAAACAGAAGAGUUGGAAUAACUAUUUUUCAUCACCACUUGUAUGUCUAAUAAGCAUGUCCACAUAUAUUAACAACAGUCUUAUCACUAACAGAUAACAAAUGUUAGUAUUUGAUUUAUUUCCAAUUUUCUAUUUUAUUUUUAAACAGUCUACAUCAUUAUCUAGAGAUGAUUUUGUAUCUUGUUUUUGUCUUUUAGCAGUAUGUGUUAAGAUGUAAUAUAAGCACUCAAAAAUUUUAUUUCAUGGAUGAAUACAUUAACCAAAGACUUCACAAUAUUAUUUAAAAAGUGUGAUGUUAAUUUUAAUUGCUGCUUUAAAUUUUUGCAUUUGGCUAUUCUAUAAUUUACUGAC
rnacentral:lncRNA from 1 species